CCUACGGGAGGCAGCAGUAGGGAAUCUUCCACAAUGGGCGCAAGCCUGAUGGAGCAACACCGCGUGAGUGAAGAAGGGUUUCGGCUCGUAAAGCUCUGUUGUUGGAGAAGAACGUGCGUGAGAGUAACUGUUCACGCAGUGACGGUAUCCAACCAGAAAGUCACGGCUAACUACGUGCCAGCAGCCGCGGUAAUACGUAGGUGGCAAGCGUUAUCCGGAUUUAUUGGGCGUAAAGCGAGCGCAGGCGGUUGCUUAGGUCUGAUGUGAAAGCCUUCGGCUUAACCGAAGAAGUGCAUCGGAAACCGGGCAACUUGAGUGCAGAAGAGGGCAGUGGAACUCCAUGUGUAGCGGUGGAAUGCGUAGAUAUAUGGAAGAACACCAGUGGCGAAGGCGGCUGUCUGGUCUGCAACUGACGCUGAGGCUCGAAAGCAUGGGUAGCGAACAGGAUUAGAUACCCGAGUAGUC
rnacentral:rRNA from 1 species